rnacentral:ncRNA from 1 species
UUCUUAUCAAGAGAGGUGGAGGGACUGGCCUUAUGAAACCUCAGCAACAGAUUCAUUUACUGAAUACUGUGCUAAAUCCAUCAAGCCAAUUGCUUGGAAGAUAGGAA